UACGGGGGGAGCAAGCGUUGUUCGGAUUUACUGGGCGUAAAGGGCGCGUAGGCGGUCAGCACAAGUCAGUUGUGAAAUCUCCGGGCUUAACUCGGAAAGGUCAACUGAUACUGUGCGACUAGAGUGCAGAAGGGCAACUGGAAUUCUCGGUGUAGCGGUGAAAUGCGUAGAUAUCGAGAGGAACACCUGCGGCGAAGGCGGUUGCUGGGCUGACACUGACGCUGAUGCGCGAAAGCCAGGGAGCGAACGGG
rnacentral:rRNA from 1 species